rnacentral:rRNA from 1 species
GAUGAACGCUGGCGGCGUGCCUAACACAUGCCAGUCGAACGGAGUCGUUUUGGAAAUCUCUUCGGAGAUGGGAUUCUCGACUUAGUGGCGGACGGGUGAGUAACGCGUGAGCAAUCUGCCUUUAAGAGGGGGAUAACAGUCGGAAACGGCUGCUAAUACCGCAUAAAGCAUUAAAUUCGCAUGUUUUUGAUGCCAAAGGAGCAAUCCGCUUUUAGAUGAGCUCGCGUCUGAUUAGCUAGUUGGCGGGGUAACGGCCCACCAAGGCGACGAUCAGUAGCCGGACUGAGAGGUUGAACGGCCACAUUGGGACUGAGACACGGCCCAGACUCCUACGGGAGGCAGCAGUGGGGAAUAUUGCGCAAUGGGGGAAACCCUGACGCAGCAACGCCGCGUGAUUGAAGAAGGCCUUCGGGGUGUAAAGAUAUUUAAUCAGGGACGAAACAAAUGACGGUACCUGAAGAAUAAGCUCCGGCUAACUACGUG